GGGCCGAUAGCUCAGUGGCAGAGCACCUGACUUUUAAUCAGGGAGUCGUGGGUUCGAAUCCCACUCGGCUCACCA
rnacentral:tRNA from 1 species